AAAGAGAGCCGUAACACAGGUGCUGCAUGGCUGUCGUCAGCUCGUGUCGUGAGAUGUUGGGUUAAGUCCGCAACGAGCGCAACCCUUGUCAUUAGUUGCUACAUUCAGUUGGGCACUCUAAUGAGACUGCCGGUGACAAGCCGGAGGAAGGUGGGGAUGACGUCAAGUCCUCAUGGCCCUUAUAGGUGGGGCUACACACGUCAUACAAUGGCUGGUACAAAGGGUUGCCAACCCGCGAGGGGGAGCCAAUCCCAUAAAGCCAGUCGUAGUCCGGAUCGUAGUCUGCAACUCGACUACGUGAAGUCGGAAUCGCUAGUAAUCGUGGAUCAGAAUGUCACGGUGAAUACGUUCCCGGGUCUU
rnacentral:rRNA from 1 species